AUGAGUAUGGUCCUGCUGCUUAUCCUAAUGAGCAUAGAAAAAAACAAGGGUAUUCAGGAUGAUCCUCUUGAAUUGUUCUACAAUCUGAUAGAGUCACUCAUUGAUGAACAAAAGAACACAAUCAGAAAAAUGGGCCUUGGUUCUUUGUUGGAAUUAAAGUGUUCUUUUUCUCCUAUUGGAAUAUACCAUUGGCUUGCAUUCCAUUUUGAUACAGUCACAAGAACAAUUAAUCUUGAAAACAGUUUCUUAUUCAACAUCACACCCAAUACUAUCCAGAUUGUGUUAGGAAUACCAAUGGGCAAGAAAAUUCUUGACAAGAAUUGUUCUACAGAAAAUUACAUUUUGGUUCAUGAUAUCAUAAAGUGGGAAGGAAAUUCUCCAUCUGUGAAAGACUUGUGUUCAAUGAUAAAACCAGACAUGCAAAUUGAUAUGUUUACAAAGACAUUCUUUCUUCUUGCGAUGGCUUCAUUUCUGUGCCCUUCUUCAGAUAGCCUAGCAAGCUCACAAUAUUACAGUGUUGCACUGAUGCUGGACUGCCUUAGUGACUUUAAUCUAUGCUCAUUUGUUCUUGAAUGGUUGACUGUUGAAAUUUAA
rnacentral:rRNA from 1 species